GCAGGACACCGGCCCUUGAGGCCUGGAGUUGGAGACCCCUGCUCUAAAGUAAAGAGGGAAGGAAAUACUUGUUUUUACUCCAAGUUAAUGUGGAGGAAGGAGGGGGCAGUUUGCAGCAGGAGACCAGAGAAAGAAAUGAAGGAAACGGGAAGGAAAUGACGAAGGCUUGCUCUCUGAAACAGCUAAGCUGCCACUCUCUCUUUAUCAUCCUGUAUGGAAACCUGGAAAAACACACAAACACAUAGGGUGUUGUUGUUGACUGCCAUACAAAACACAGGAUCUCAGGCACAGGAUGAUAAACAAAGAACAUGGAGAGCAAAUAGAAUUGAAGAGGACACAAUCAGAGAGACAACAGGAAAAAAACACUGUUGUGCCGAUGGAUAACAAGUGGGAAAGAGUCACAAAGAAGGAAGAACUCAUUUUGUCAAAGUCUGCAUCUCAUUUUUCAAACAGCUGUCACCUCCUUCUGCAACAGGAGUGUAAAGUGCCUGUAGCACCUACGACAACUGAGGAAGUUCAGGGUCUCUCCAGUGAUCCUCAGGACUUUCUAUACAGGCGCU